rnacentral:rRNA from 1 species
AUGAACGCUAGCUACAGGCUUAACACAUGCAAGUCGAGGGGCAGCAUGGUCUUAGCUUGCUAAGGCCGAUGGCGACCGGCGCACGGGUGAGUAACACGUAUCCAACCUGCCGUCUACUCUUGGACAGCCUUCUGAAAGGAAGAUUAAUACAAGAUGGCAUCAUGAGUCCGCAUGUUCACAUGAUUAAAGGUAUUCCGGUAGACGAUGGGGAUGCGUUCCAUUAGAUAGUAGGCGGGGUAACGGCCCACCUAGUCUUCGAUGGAUAGGGGUUCUGAGAGGAAGGUCCCCCACAUUGGAACUGAGACACGGUCCAAACUCCUACGGGAGGCAGCAGUGAGGAAUAUUGGUCAAUGGGCGAGAGCCUGAACCAGCCAAGUAGCGUGAAGGAUGACUGCCCUAUGGGUUGUAAACUUCUUUUAUAAAGGAAUAAAGUCGGGUAUGGAUACCCGUUUGCAUGUACUUUAUGAAUAAGGAUCGGCUAACUCCGUGCCAGCAGCCGCGGUAAUACGGAGGAUCCGAGCGUUAUCCGGAUUUAUUGGGUUUAAAGGGAGCGUAGAUGGAUGUUUAAGUCAGUUGUGAAAGUUUGCGGCUAAACCGUAAAAUUGCAGUUGAUACUGGAUAUCUUGAGUGCAGUUGAGGCAGGCGGAAUUCGUGGUGUAGCGGUGAAAUGCUUAGAUAUCACGAAGAACUCCGAUUGCGAAGGCAGCCUGCUAAGCUGCAACUGACAUUGAGGCUCGAAAGUGUGGGUAUCAAACAGGAUUAGAUACCCUGGUAGUCCACACGGUAAACGAUGAAUACUCGCUGUUUGCGAUAUACAGCAAGCGGCCAAGCGAAAGCGUUAAGUAUUCCACCUGGGGAGUACGCCGGCAACGGUGAAACUCAAAGGAAUUGACGGGGGCCCGCACAAGCGGAGGAACAUGUGGUUUAAUUCGAUGAUACGCGAGGAACCUUACCCGGGCUUAAAUUGCAGAUGAAUUACGGUGAAAGCCGUAAGCCGCAAGGCAUCUGUGAAGGUGCUGCAUGGUUGUCGUCAGCUCGUGCCGUGAGGUGUCGGCUUAAGUGCCAUAACGAGCGCAACCCUUGUUGUCAGUUACUAACAGGUUCCGCUGAGGACUCUGACAAGACUGCCAUCGUAAGAUGUGAGGAAGGUGGGGAUGACGUCAAAUCAGCACGGCCCUUACGUCCGGGGCUACACACGUGUUACAAUGGGGGGUACAGAGGGCCGCUACCACGCGAGUGGAUGCCAAUCCCCAAAACCUCUCUCAGUUCGGACUGGAGUCUGCAACCCGACUCCACGAAGCUGGAUUCGCUAGUAAUCGCGCAUCAGCCACGGCGCGGUGAAUACGUUCCCGGGCCUUGUACACACCGCCCGUCAAGCCAUGGGAGCCGGGGGUACCUGAAGUGCGUAACCGCGAGGAGCGCCCUAGGGUAAAACUGGUGACUGGGGCU